GACAAACGCUGGCGGCAUGCCUAACACAUGCAAGUCGAACGGACAGAACAGGGAAGCUUUUCGGAGUGGAACUGGAAAGUUAGUGGCGGAUGGGUGAGUAACGCGUGGACAACCUACCUUGUAAAGGGGAAUAACCUCGAGAAAUCGAAGCUAAUACCCCAUAAUAACCUUGCUUCGCAUGAAAUAAGGAGGAAAGGCGGCCUUAGCGCUGUCGAUACAAGAUGGGUCCGCGUCUGAUUAGCUAGUUGGUGAGGUAAAGGCUCACCAAGGCGACGAUCAGUAGCCGGCCUGAGAGGGUGAACGGCCACAUUGGGACUGAGACACGGCCCAAACUCCUACGGGAGGCAGCAGUGGGGAAUCUUCCGCAAUGGGCGAAAGCCUGACGGAGCAAUGCCGCGUGAGUGAAGAAGGCCUUCGGGUUGUAAAACUCUGUCCUUAUCGAAGAGAGAGUGUUGUAGUAACUGACAAUACUAGGACGGUAGAUGAGGAGGAAGCCCCGGCUAACUAUGUG
rnacentral:rRNA from 1 species